rnacentral:rRNA from 1 species
UACGUAGGGUCCGAGCGUUGUCCGGAGUUACUGGGCGUAAAGCGCGCGCAGGCGGCGGUGCUGGCCCGGCGUGAAAGCCCCCGGCUCAACCGGGGAGAGUCGUCGGGGACCGCACCGCUUGAGGGCGGUAGGGGCUGGUGGAAUGCCUGGUGUAGUGGUGAAAUGCGUAGAGAUCAGGCAGAACACCUGGGGCGAAGGCGGCCAGCUGGGCCGUCCCUGACGCUGAGGCGCGAAGGCGUGGGGAGCGAACGGG